rnacentral:rRNA from 1 species
CCUACGGGAGGCUGCAGUGAGGAAUAUUGGUCAAUGGACGCAAGUCUGAACCAGCCAUGCCGCGUGCAGGAUGACGGCUCUAUGGGUUGUAAACUUCUUUUGUACGAGGGUAAACGCAGAUACGCGUAUCUGUCUGAAUGUACCGUACGAAUAAGGAUCGGCUAACUCCGUGCCAGCAGCCGCGGUAAUACGGAGGAUUCGAGCGUUAUCCGGAUUUAUUUGGUUUAAAGGGUGCGUAGACGGUCGGAUAAGUCAGAGGUGAAAGCCCGAGGCUCAAAUUGGGAAUUGCAUGUGAUACUGGUAGGCUUGAGAGUAGUUGAGGUAGGCGGAAUGUGUGGUGUAGCGGUGAAAUGCUUAGAGAUCAUACAGAACACCGAUUGCGAAGGCAGCUUACCAAGCUACUACUGACGUUGAGGCACGAAAGCGUGGGUAGAAAACAGGAUUAGAUACCCCAGUAGUC